rnacentral:rRNA from 1 species
GAUGAACGCUGGCGGCGUGCCUAAUACAUGCAAGUAGAACGCUGAAGGAAGGAGCUUGCUCUUUCCGGAUGAGUUGCGAACGGGUGAGUAACGCGUAGGUAACCUGCCUGGUAGCGGGGGAUAACUAUUGGAAACGAUAGCUAAUACCGCAUAACAGUAGAUGUUGCAUGAUAUCUACUAAAAAGGUGAAAUUGCACCACUACCAGAUGGACCUGCGUUGUAUUAGCUAGUUGGUGAGGUAACGGCUCACCAAGGCGACGAUACAUAGCCGACCUGAGAGGGUGAUCGGCCACACUGGGACUGAGACACGGCCCAGACUCCUACGGGAGGCAGCAGUAGGGAAUCUUCGGCAAUGGACGGAAGUCUGACCGAGCAACGCCGCGUGAGUGAAGAAGGUUUUCGGAUCGUAAAGCUCUGUUGUAAGAGAAGAACGAGUGUGAGAGUGGAAAGUUCACACUGUGACGGUAUCUUACCAGAAAGGGACGGCUAACUACGUG